AAUAGUAAAAAAAAUCAAAUAUUUGUAUCUUGAGAAAAAAUAAUAUAUGUCUUACGGUACUAAAAAGUUCUAAAUACUCAAAGCUGAGCCUGUCCACAUCUUCUAUAAAAAUCGACCAAUCAGAAAGCUCUCAUUCGCCACGUCAUACGAGAGACAUAAUUUUAUUGGGUCAAUUCUACUGGGCUAAAACCAUUAUAGCAGCAGCUCACUCCACUUCCACCCUUGGUCGUCAGUCGAGCAACGAGACUCCUCCAUCACCCUCAUCAUUCCCAUCAUGAAAUUCAUCGGUCUUUGCAACUCGCCAUUACGGUGUAAUAGUGUCGCUCCAAUCUAAAUCAUUAGAUUCUGUUCUUGACUACUUUACUAAUGAGAUAUGGUAUCGUUCUACACCCCUUUGUUUCUCCAUCUAUAUAUAUCCCUUCGUAAAUCUUCCGUCCAAUCGUGAUCAAAAACCUCCGUCGAAGAAUAUAAAACUAUGGCCAUUAAUCUGAUCAACCCUCCGCUUAAUCUUGGCCACUGCUUGUGUGUUAGCGAGAAUACAGAGGCCACUGAGGAAGAUUUGCAGGAUGCUGAUAUUCCCAAUUAACAAGCUAUUGCGAGACGCUGCAGCAACCAAGAGAAUUUUUGUAACUGAGUUCAAAGUUUAACUAAAAAACAUCCAAGUGCCAUGUUUCGUGUACCCAACAAUCUUGAAUAAUCGGAACAAUGCUCUUUUGGCAGAGUAUUUCAACUUAUGCGACAGGCUUGAUUCCAAAUAGUGAGCAGGAAACGAGCAUAAGUCGCGUGCACAACAAUAGGCUGUUGUGAUUCAGAAUUACCCUGAUCUUGCUCAGUUGGAUUUUGGUUCCGUUUCUAGGAUUCAGCAAGCUGAAGGUGACAUACAGAAACUUGGAUAGGAUUAUUGUAAGUUGUACUUGAGAGGGUCAACAUGUGAAGCUUUCUCGACACAUGAACAAGAAGAGCAAGCGAAAUGUCGGAUGCAAAAUCAAGCGAGCUUCUUGCUCCUUGCUUUUGUUGGUGGGCCUGCUGAUAGAUGCAUAUAUGUUUUCCCAAAACAAUGACUUCUUCCAUAAAUACUUGCAGUCAGGUAUGCAAUCUAGCUUGGUCUAAGAACAUAAACAAGUUGGUAAGCACGCACUGGAUGGUCCCAAAACCAAAUAACAUACUGGAAAUACCUAACCAUCUCCAAAUUCAAAUUGUAACUCUGACAGGUUACACAGACCGAUUUAUGUUCCUUGUGGUAUCACAUGAAGGAAAAACGAAUGCACCCGGAGCAGGAGAUGAAACCUUCAGAAAAAGGCACUGAGAUCUGUUGAGAAUAUCAAUCCUGGCUGAUUUGGGAUAUAUAUAUACCAGUAUGAUUAAUGUUAUACCAGUAUGGUUCUGGAUUGUCUUCCCGUUCAUGAAAGCUCAGAAAAAGGCACUGAGAUCGGUUGAGAAUAUCAAUCCUGGCUGAUUUGGGAUAUAUAUAUAUAUAUACCAGUAUGAUUAAGGUUAUUUAAAACAACAGGCGCUGGUUCAACGGACUCGACAGGGCAGCAUUGGCGUUUCCAUUUUCUCCAUUAAGACAUUCCCACCGUCAAUCAGUGAAUUAGGAUCCCAUUCUGGGUCAGAAGUUCUGUCUCAAGGGUUUUGAACAUGUGAAUUAAUUGGAACCUCUCAAACCUACUUUGAUUAUAAUAGAGAAUCUGGAGCUCCUUGACGGGAUUUGCGGGCAGCCCCUUGAGGCAGAAUAAUAUAUCAGUUUCCUCGGGGAAUAUAUACAAUAAUGUUGUAUGUAGUAGUAACAUUAGAUUGUUGCUUAUAAAUUACAUCUAGCUCAGGGAAAAAAAUAGUUAAAGUUAUAAUAAUGUAACAAUAAAUAUUAUUGUAUGGUAAGUGAUCGUAUUUCACCAUGUAUCCUAAGAGGAGCAUAUGUUGAAGGCUUUGCAACAGCAGCAACUGGAAGACUAACAGGAGUGGGUGAACGGGCACCGUUGUGUGGUGAGCAAACGUGAUCAGUGAAUAACGGUUUGUUGUAUGGGUUUAGGGUUUUACAUAGCCGAUGUUGCUAAUUUUAGCUGCUACCAAAAGCAUAAAACUUUCGCUGAUAUGAUAGACAAAUAUGACCCAUAACUGGCUUCAACUAUCACAUAUGUUAAGUUAACAAUAC